UUAUGGGCUCCCAGCUAAAAUCCUUGCCCUCACAUCCACACAAAGAAGACAAGAAGAUAUUAGCUUUUAUGGAAUCAAAGAUCUCCACACAUAUCCUGUCUUCUGACAGUAGCCAAUACCAGGUGCCUCAGAGGGAAUGAAAAAACAGGUCAGCACCUCUCUGCUUCCCACCAAUACAGAUAGAGGGACAGAUGAAGUGAGCCCAUUGCCAGACCUGACAUUGUGACAUUUAUGUUACCGCAUCAAAACACUGAUGAAAUUCUGCACGCUAGGGAUCAUCUAGGGACCAUGGAUCUGCCCUAAAUCCAUCCAUAUUUACAACCUACACAUUUUGGUGCAGAGAGACUCAAAAAGUAAUUAAAUCCUCAUUCAAAUGUAGGACUUUCCUGUAACUGGCACUGCAGCUGACAGGAGGAAUAAUUUGUUAGCAACUGAAGUUACUAUUGAAAAUAAUGAUGGUGGUUUUGAAAAACCAAAACAGUAGAGAACUGCCAAAAUAUCGGUUUUGGGUGUGAGCAAUUGGAAUUUUCUACCCAAUACUUUUAUUUAUUGGUGAAGCUUCCUAAACCUAAUAA